UACGGAGGGUGCAAGCAUUAAUCGGAUUUAUUGGGCGUAAAGGGCGCGUAGGCGGGGAUAUAAGUCAGAUGUGAAAUCCUGGGGCUCAACCUCAGAACUGCAUUUGAAACUGUAUCUCUAGAGGGUAGAAGGAGAAAACGGAAUUCCACAAGUAGCGGUGAAAUGCGUAGAUAUGUGGAAGAACACCGGUGGCGAAGGCGGUUUUCUAUUUUAUUCCUGACGCUAAAGCGCGAAAGCAAGGGGAUCAAACAGG
rnacentral:rRNA from 1 species